rnacentral:lncRNA from 1 species
CCAAAAGCAAAGUCCAGCCAUCCUGAUUCUGGAGACAGAAUCAUGGUGGCAAAGAGAGAGCUACACUGUGUUCACUGCGGCUCUAGUCACAGUUGCCAAGGGGUGGAAAAACCUGAGCGUCUGUGGACAGACGGAUGGAUAAAGUGCAUAUUCUUCAGCCUUAGAAAAAAGAGGGAUUAUUAUUGAGCCUUAAAACAAAAAGAGGGAGUCCUGUCCUCCCCAACCACAUGGAGGAGCCUGGAGGGAUCAUGCAGGUGGAAUAAGCCGGACAGAGAAAAAAGACCACAUGGUAUAAUUUACUGUGGAAUCUAAAAAAAAGACGUACAACUUGUAGAAACAGAGAAAAAAAUGGUGACUCCCAGAGGCAGGGGGGUGGGGGGACCAGGGAGUGGCUUGGUGAGAGGAUGUAAACUUUCAGUGACAAGAUGAAUGAGGUCUGAGGACCUCAAGCACAGCAGGGCGGCUGUCACGGACAACACCGCAAAAAUUUGCUAAGAAAAUGCAACUUAUGUGUUCUCACCCAAAAAAAAAGGUAAAUAUGUAAGGUAACGGACAUAAUAAUUAAUUAGAUUGCAGAAAUCCUUUCCCAAUGCACAUAUAUAUCAAAUCAUUACUGUCUAUUUUAAAUAUAUUAUAAUUUUAUUUAAUCAUUAGAUAACAAUAAAGCUGAAAGAUAAAGGAUUAACAGAACUAGCUAGUAAUUCUCAAAGUAAAAAAAAAAAAAUUCUGUUUAGAUUUUUUUCUCCUGAAGCCUGUGUAUCCACGGAUAAAUAUCACGUAUGGUUAGAAUAAGACCCAGUUUAAGAUCAGUUUUGUUCUGACUUUUCUUUUUUAAAGAGGUAGUGACUUGCCUCCUUGGUCACACAAGUCCACUGUUGAGAAGAGAUGCUGUUUCAGACAAAUGGAACUCAGUUCUUGGCAGGUCUUCGCAUCCGUACCAAAAGUGACGUGGUCAUAAAAUAAAAACUAGUGUCAAUAAUCAGCCAUCAACUUUAAUCAGCGGGUCUUCCAAGGAAAGAACACCUCUGGGCACCGCCUGAUCUGAAGCAGGGAAGUCACCAGGACACGGGUCACUCAAGCCCCACGUCCCAAGAAUCACGUCAAAGGGCUGGACUGACUGGAGCUUGCUUAGCUGUGCACCUUGUUCAAACCGAUGUGCUCAGAAAGCAUCUGAAAAUACAUGGAGUCAUUUCCAUGCACCUUUCCAUAGAGGAUGCCUUCAUGUGAGAAUUUAUUAUAACCAUGUCUCAAUUAUGUAUGCCCAUAAUUUUUGCAUGUUUAGAUCCUUCCGAUAAUUUAAGAGACAAGACAGUUUGCAGUGUCAAACCUAUGAGCCAAUCAGAAUUCCUUUUUAUUAGAAAAGGUUUUAGUUUCCUUUUAUAUUCAAGUAAAGAUGUUGGUAGAUAGAGAUACUUUUUAAAACAUUGAUAAAUAAAUUAUGCAAUACAGUCAUAAAAUCAGUAAUGAAAUAAGUAAAGUCAGGAUUAAAAUGAAACUGAGCUAAUUCAACUACGUGAUCCAAUUUAUAAUAAACGAUACAACCAGAUACCAACGGCUUUCUCCCUGAUAUUAAUCAAGCAAAGUUAAAUGUAACUAAAGUAAUAAGUACAACAGAAGGCACGAUAUUUCUUUGGUAAAUGCGUUUGCAUGUGUUCACGAGGUGCUGUUGUUAGGCCUUGGAGAAUAAUCCCAAAAAGUACUGCAUUGUUUAAAUCGAGGGCGGGGGGAAUCCCAUUAAUUUUUGUUCAGCCACAUGAUCAAACUUUCCCUUUGGAGGGUGUUUCCUACCUUCAGUCUUGUCUUUGCAUUCGAAGCACAACAGUGCCCAAUGCAUCUGUCCUAAUCCCUGUUUCAAAAAAUCCUGUCACUACUCUUCACAAACCGUAACGGUUCCCCACCCGCCACAGGACAGUGGAACCCAAUCUGAGUGGCCCCGGACGCGGCCCCACGUCUGUCCCUUUCCCUCCUCCACUCCAUCACGUCCCAGCUGGGAGGACAUCUGGUCCUCAGGGCCUGUUUCUCACAGUCUCAGCUCUGCUCUGUCCUGGGCUCGAGUUUGGGGAACUGGAAUUCCAUAUAUUCUGCUCGUUGACAUUAGAGUCCAAGGAAAACAGAGAGCAGAGUCGCACCCUGUGAGCAGAAUCACACCCCGAGUCUCCCCUUCCAUCCUUCCCAAGCACAUGACCUUGCACCCAACAGGUGCUCGUUAGGUGUCUGCCGCUUGGCCCGCCCAGAGAAACCCACUGUCCAGUUUCUCUGCGACCAGCGGUCCCCACCUCCACUGCUGGAGUCUGAGAAGUAGAAACACCAAGAACACUUACGGAGACUCACCCAGGAAGCACUGACUGGACAGCAUCGCCCAGAAGACAGCACAUAUAGCUCCGAAAACAAACAACAACAACCCGACGACAGCAACAACAACAACAAAAACCCACAAAGAAACUACAACUGAGAUGAGCGUGGAAAAGGUGGUGGUUGUGAUUUGUGUUCAUAAGACCUUGGACCAGAGCAUCUCCGAACAGCAUCCUUAAGCGUUUCUGUUUCUAAAAAUACUGCUCGGGACACCAGCUCAGCCGUUCUGAGACCAUGAGAUCUCAAGCAGGGUAUUGAUAUUUUCGAUUCUAGUUAGAGUUUUAGAUGACCUUUGCCUUAAAGCUUCACUAGCCAAGAGCAGGGCUGAGUGCAGCCUCGCCGGCUGCAGCUCUCCGAAGGCCGCCCAGUCCCAGUCCUGAACCAAAGCCAAGGCCCAGUUAAAGUUUCUUCACAGCAGACUUCUUUUCUCACCCAUGACAUUCUUCACUUGGGGAAAGAAAGAAAGAAAGAAACUUAUCUUUCAGAUUUAGCUGCCUCUAUCACACAAGUGUGAACCGGGGGUGGUUUAUGUUCUACGAAGGCUGUUUCUCUUUAUAAAUCCUAAACAUUUAAAAAUAUCUUUGCCUGUGCUGGAAUGUCAAUUUCUGGUAUUUUGGCUGCUUCAACAUGAAUCGUUUGUGAUUAUGAAGCUGUUUCAGUUCUCGGAAUUUGCUGGAGACAGAUUCCCAAACAGAACGUCCUGGGAGGUGGGUGUGGGCAGAUUCGGGAAAGAAUGCACAGCUCCGCUUGGCCUUGCAGUGCAUUUUUUCCAGGGUGCUUUCGUGUUUUCCUCAUACCUGGGGAAACUCUAUAUAUCUCUGGACCACCCGUAUUCUGCAAAGAAAGAUGCAAAAACCCUAAACAUUAAAUUGAGGCAAAACACCCACUCAUGCAGACAGGCGCAGGCACGCUCACGUGCACACACACACACACACACACGCACGCAUGCGUGCACCCACACAAAUACACAGACACACUUGGUGUCCAAGGCCUGUGAAGAAGAGGAGCGGCAGCUUCAAUGUCAACUGUCACAGGUCCUCUUUCCUCACGGCAUCGAUGAGCCAGCUGCAGACCUCCCUCUGUCUCAGCAAAGACAUGUCAGUAAUAAAUUAGCAACACACUCCUGGAAUGACAGGAAGGUAUUUUGGUAGUACUGGGAUAGGGUACGGAUUCAAUAAGAGUUCUUAAGGAGGCCCUUUUAAAGUGCAGGCAGUGGGCUGAGAAUCUGACUGCAGUGGCUCGGUGGCGGGGAAGGCUGGGGUUCAAUCCCAGGCCUGGCACAGUGGGUAAGGAUCUGGUGUUGCUGCACCUGCAGCAUAGGUUGCAACUGCGGCUUGGAUUCCGCCCCUGGCCUGGGACUUUCCAUAUGCUGCAGGUGCAGCCCUAAAAAAAUUUUUUUUUAAAUAAGAAAUAAAGAGCAGGCAGUGAAAAGGCAAGGCAGGCAGGGUGAUGCGGACCUGAGCCUUGGAGAAAGAAGGCUGGGAUUCAGGUUCCCAAAAAAGCCCCAUAUCCCCAGGUCCAGGCCUCUGUCUCCCCCACCCCUUCCUCCAGCAUCCCCAGCCAAGACAGCACUGGCCCUUCUCCUGCACCUCCAGCUCCAUUCCAUCCAUCCAUCGCCCAGCCCAACUGCCUCCCCAGUGGACAUCCUCUGUCCUCAGGUCACCGCGUUAAUUUCCACAUAAUCGAGGUCACCUCUCUCCCGAAGAUGCUGUCACUUGGGCCGCCCUCUGCUUUCGCCCCUCUCCAUUCAGCCAAAGGAUAAUUCAGUUCUUGAGCUGUUGUGUGUGUGCCUUCAACUCCCCAGCUGAGCUGUCUAGAAAAGCACAAUCACCCUGAUGGGGUCUUUCAGUCUGUGGCCAUGAGCUGUGGGUGGGCUCUUACUACCAUCACUCUGCACCUCCCGCUCUCUAGAGGACUCCUCACUCCCCACUUUGUCUCUCCAAAGUCACAAGCCCUCUUCCACCAUGGCACCCUCCACUGGUGGUUUUGCUUCCUACUUCACAACGAAAAUAGAAGCAAUCAGAAGAAAGGGACUUUUGCUGGAGGCCACCUGGGCAUCCACGUCUCUGUCAUUUAUUUUUGGUCCCCACCAGGAACCAUCGGUGCUGCUUUGGAAACAAACAACUCCACUUGCACCCAAAUGCAUGUUCUUGCCUGCUCCAGAAAUGGCCCAGUAGCCUCCCGUCCUACAUGAUCAAUUUUUUAUGCUCCACUGAAUCAUUCCCAUCAGGAUAUAAACAUAAUGCCGAUGCUUUCCACUAAAAAUUACUUCUCUUGGCCUGACCUAUCCCACCAGAUACCACCCCACAGCCUGCUCCCUUUGCAGCAAAGCUUCUUAGAACGCUCAUCAGCCAUCUCUCCGAUUCCUCCCUCCAAGCCCACUCCACCUGGGCCAGAAUCACACACUAUUUUGCUGUUUUACCAAAGCCACCCAUGACCAGCAGGGCACUGAUCCAAGAGUCACGUCUCGGUCCCCACCUCCCCUGGCCCAUCCACACACUGGAUCAUCUGUCCCGCCUUUGGAAAUGAUCCCUGAGACACCUCGCUCUUGACACCCCCGCCCCCCCCCCAGUGGCUUCCCUUGGUCUCCUUCACUGGCUCUCUUGCUCCCCAAAAACCCAGAAUACCCCAGGACCUGAUCCUGAAAACUCUUCUCUCACUAGAUCUCACCUGAGUUCAUUCCUUUAAACACCAACCGCAAGCCAAAGACUUCAGCUCUAUCUCCAGCUCAGAUCAUGGUCUUCCACUAUCAGAUCAGGACACGCCACCAAAUAGCAUCUCUGUUUGGGUGUCUUAUUGUCUCAAAUUCAACCUGUUCAAAGCUGAACUUCCAACUUCCUUCUGCACCAAAGCCUCUCCCCCUGCAGACUCCCCAGCUCAGCUGGUGACAACUCCCCCUAGUCAGGCACGCUAAAAUCUUUGCCAUCACGACGGACUUUCCCUUCUUCUCAAGCCCCACGUCCAUUCCACCGGCACAUCUCAAGGGCUCUGUCUCCAAGACAUGUCAGAAUGUGAGCACGCUUCCCCAUCUCCAGAGCCACCCGUGGAGCAGACUACCGUUACGCCUUGUCUGAAUUCCUGCAGUGGGUUUCUCCAGCGACCUCUGAUGGUCUGCUGGUCCACCGCCGUCCCUGCCCUGCGUUCUAUCAACACUGACGCCAGCAUGCGCAUCACAAAUGGAUCCUGUCCCUCAUCUGCUUAAAACCCUGCACGGAUUUCCCACCACCACACCCAGCAGUCCCCCCAGUAGCCCACAAGGCUAAACAUGGUCAGGUUUCCGUGACCUCCUGACUCCACCCCUGCCCCCGCCCCCAGACUCACAGCUCUCCGCUGGCCCCCCUCAGCCACCCUGCCUCGCCGUGUUCCUCCAACGCGUGGGGUGCACAGAUUGGGUGCUGGGCUUUCACACUCACUUUUUCCUCCAAUUGCAACUCUCUUCUCCCAGACGCUUAACGACUAGUUCCCACAGGUCCUGAAACCCACGUUCGAAUGUCAGUUUUUUAAUGAGACCUCCCGGAACCCUCCGUUUAAGACUCCAUCCCUCUAGACUGGGUUGUUUUUUGUUGUCUCCACAACACUCAUGCCUGGAAAUGAAACGUCCUUCACUUCUCCACACUGUGGAGGGGGGGCCCUGUGUCUAAGGGCCCUUCCCCACCCCACUCCUCCACACACACACUCCCCUCUAACCCAGAAUCUCCCCGGCGGCAGAAGUUGGUGUCGGCAGCAUUCGCCGUGUUCGGAGUUAGAAGAGCACCUGACACAAUGCAGAUGCUCCAUCCACACAUUCUGGAUGAAUUAAAGAGACGCUGAGACCCUGGGGACAACAUAUGAAUCUUCUAAACCUCUUUCUUGGUUGACAGAACAAGACUCAGGAUAUUAACUUGUUGUUAUGUGCAACAAAUGAGGACCCCUGUGGAAAUCUUUGUAAGAUAUUAAUUACUACAAUUGCUUAACAUGACAUGUUGAGGCUCAUCCUUAAAAUUCAUUCAGGAGACACGAACUAGGCAACUGCAUACAUGGUGGGGUUCAAGAGGUACUGAAAAACCCACCCAAGUGGGCUGGGGGUCUUUCCCAACAAGGGCCUGGGAGUCCACCAGGAAGACAAAGAUGGAGGUUUUCAAGCUUUCAUUUUCCAGAUUCAAAGUUACCUCUGAGAAGUCCUGACAGGGGGAGAGGUCCGGUCUUCUGGCCAAAUCCAGACGUCCUGAUGUGCUCAGCUGGCUCUCCCCCUCAUGGCAGGCUGCCCACCUGGAGAAGUGGGAGAAGGUCUCAGGCUCUGGGUCCCUGCAGAUCUCGGGGAGGGGAGUGUGUCGGACUC